rnacentral:rRNA from 1 species
CACGUAGGGUGCGAGCGUUGUCCGGAAUUAUUGGGCGUAAAGAGCUCGUAGGCGGUGUGUCGCGUCGGCCGUGAAAACCUGCAGCUUAACUGUGGGCUUGCGGUCGAUACGGGCAUCACUGGAGUUCGGCAGGGGAGACUGGAAUUCCUGGUGUAGCGGUGAAAUGCGCAGAUAUCAGGAGGAACACCGGUGGCGAAGGCGGGACUCUGGGCCGAUAACUGACGCU